rnacentral:miRNA from 1 species
CAUAACAUACACACACACACGUAU